rnacentral:rRNA from 1 species
GACGAACGCUGGCGGCGUGCUUAACACAUGCAAGUCGAACGGAAAGGCCCUGCUUUUGUGGGGUGCUCGAGUUGCGAACGGGUGAGUAACACGUGAGUAACCUGCCCUUGACUUUGGGAUAACUUCAGGAAACUGGGGCUAAUACCGGAUAGGAGCUCCUGCUGCAUGGUGGGGGUUGGAAAGUUUCGGCGGUUGGGGAUGGACUCGCGGCUUAUCAGCUUGUUGGUGGGGUAGUGGCUUACCAAGGCUUUGACGGGUAGCCGGCCUGAGAGGGUGACCGGCCACCUUGGGAAUGAGAUACGGCCGAGACUACUACGGGAGGCAGGAGUGGGGAAUAUUGCACAAUGGGCGGAAGCCUGAUGCAGCAACGCCGCGUGCGGGAUGACGGCCUUCGGGUUGUAAACCGCUUUCGCCUGUGACGAAGCGUGAGUGAAGGUAAUGGGUAAAGAAGCACCGGCUAACUACGUG